rnacentral:rRNA from 1 species
UACGGAGGGUGCAAGCGUUGUCCGGAAUCACUGGGCGUAAAGGGCGCGUAGGCGGCUCGGUAAGUAGGGGGUGAAAUCCUGCGGCUUAACCGCAGGGCUGCCUUCUAAACUGUCGAGCUUGAGCACGGUAGAGGCAGAUGGAAUUCCCGGUGUAGCGGUGGAAUGCGUAGAGAUCGGGAAGAACAUCAGUGGCGAAGGCGGUCUGCUGGGCCGUUGCUGACGCUGAGGCGCGACAGCUAGGGGAGCAAACAGG